rnacentral:rRNA from 1 species
AGUUUGAUCCUGGCUCAGGAUGAACGCUAGCUACAGGCUUAACACAUGCAAGUCGAGGGGCAGCAUCAUCAAAGCUUGCUUUGAUGGAUGGCGACCGGCGCACGGGUGAGUAACACGUAUCCAACCUGCCGACAACACUGGGAUAGCCUUUCGAAAGAAAGAUUAAUACCGGAUGGUAUAGUUUUCCCGCAUGGGAUGAUUAUUAAAGAAUUUCGGUUGUCGAUGGGGAUGCGUUCCAUUAGGCAGUUGGCGGGGUAACGGCCCACCAAACCUACGAUGGAUAGGGGUUCUGAGAGGAAGGUCCCCCACAUUGGAACUGAGACACGGUCCAAACUCCUACGGGAGGCAGCAGUGAGGAAUAUUGGUCAAUGGACGAGAGUCUGAACCAGCCAAGUAGCGUGAAGGAUGACUGCCCUAUGGGUUGUAAACUUCUUUUAUACGGGAAUAAAGUGAGCCACGUGUGGCUUUUUGUAUGUACCGUAUGAAUAAGGAUCGGCUAACUCCGUGCCAGCAGCCGCGGUAAUACGGAGGAUCCGAGCGUUAUCCGGAUUUAUUGGGUUUAAAGGGAGCGUAGGCGGGUUGUUAAGUCAGUUGUGAAAGUUUGCGGCUCAACCGUAAAAUUGCAGUUGAUACUGGCGACCUUGAGUGCAACAGAGGUAGGCGGAAUUCGUGGUGUAGCGGUGAAAUGCUUAGAUAUCACGAAGAACUCCGAUUGCGAAGGCAGCUUACUGGAUUGUAACUGACUCUGAUGCUCGAAAGUGUGGGUAUCAAACAGGAUUAGAUACCCUGGUAGUCCACACAGUAAACGAUGAAUACUCGCUGUUGGCGAUAUACAGUCAGCGGCCAAGCGAAAGCAUUAAGUAUUCCACCUGGGGAGUACGCCGGCAACGGUGAAGCUCAAAGGAAUUGACGGGGGCCCGCACAAGCGGAGGAACAUGUGGUUUAAUUCGAUGAUACGCGAGGAACCUUACCCGGGCUUAAAUUGCAACUGACGGAACCGGAAACGGUUCUUUCUUCGGACAGUUGUGAAGGUGCUGCAUGGUUGUCGUCAGCUCGUGCCGUGAGGUGUCGGCUUAAGUGCCAUAACGAGCGCAACCCUUACGGGUAGUUACCAUCAGGUUAUGCUGGGGACUCUACCCGGACUGCCGUCGUAAGAUGUGAGGAAGGUGG